UACGUAGGGGGCAAGCGUUGUCCGGAUUAUUGGGCGUAAAGAGCGUGUAGGCGGCCAGAUAGGUCCGUUGUGAAACUCGAGGCUCAACCUCGAGACGCCGAUGGAAACCAUCUGGCUAGAGUCCGGAAGAGGAGAGUGGAAUUCCCGGUGUAGCGGUGAAAUGCGCAGAUAUCGGGAAGAACACCCGUGGCUAAGGCGGCUCUCUAGUACGGUACUGACGCUGAGACGCGAAAGCGUGGGGAGCGAACAGG
rnacentral:rRNA from 1 species